GGAGUAGUAGCUUAGCGGUAGAGCGCUUGCCUCAUGAAUGAGGUACUGGGUUGGAUUCCUAGCACCACA
rnacentral:tRNA from 1 species